CACGUAGGCACCAAGCGUUGUCCGGAUUUAUUGGGCGUAAAGAGCUCGUAGGCGGUUCAGUAAGUCGGAUGUGAAAACUUUGGGCUUAACCCAAAGCCUGCAUUCGAUACUGCUGUGACUUGAGUUCGGUAGGGGAGUGGGGAAUUCCUAGUGUAGCGGUGAAAUGCGCAGAUAUUAGGAGGAACACCGGUGGCGAAGGCGCCACUCUGGGCCGAAACUGACGCUGAGGAGCGAAAGCGUGGGUAGCAAACAGG
rnacentral:rRNA from 1 species